ACUCAAAGGAAUAGACGGGGGCCCGCACAAGCGGUGGAGCAUGUGGUUUAAUUCGACGCAACGCGAAGAACCUUACCAAGGCUUGACAUCCCGCUGAAAGUAUUAGAGAUAGUACUGACCUUUCGGGGACAGCGGAGACAGGUGGUGCAUGGUUGUCGUCAGCUCGUGUCGUGAGAUGUUGGGUUAAGUCCCGCAACGAGCGCAACCCUUAUGUUUAGUAGCCAUCAGGUAAAGCUGGGCACACUAGAGAGACUGCCGUGGAGAACACGGAGGAAGGUGGGGACGACGUCAAAUCAUCAUGCCCCUUAUGUCUUGGGCUACACACGUGCUACAAUGGACGAAACAAAGUGAAGCAAAACAGCGAUGUGGAGCAAAACACGAAAAGCGUCCUCAGUUCGGAUUGCAGUCUGCAACUCGACUGCAUGAAGUUGGAAUCGCUAGUAAUCGCGAAUCAGCAUGUCGCGGUGAAUACGUUCCCGGGCCUUGUACACACCGCCCGU
rnacentral:rRNA from 1 species